ACUGCCUCCGGUGCCAUGGAACUGUUCGAAGAUAUUCUGGAGAAAAGGUUUCGGUUCGCCGUGCCCGUGCGUACGUUUGGGGUUGUUUACUUGUUUCUCUCUCGCUUCUUCCUGGCGGCGGAAGACAGAGAAGGGCGAGCGGCCGCGCGGAACAUCGACGACCGAGAGGCCCCCUCGUCAGCAACCCCAUCUGCUAUUCUCCCUGACGGCAUUCUGGCAGCAAGGACAUUCCAAGUUGUGGGAACUUCAAAAUAUGGAGGAACUAGAAAUAUGUUUUGGCAGCAUCACAAGUAUUGGUUUUGAUCAUUGGUCUCCUCAUAUGGCCACUGCUUCCACCAUUGCUGAACAAGGAGGUACACCACACGAGGCAAUCAAUUGUGACACACAAGAAGAUGGUGACACCAAUGAAUGUGAAGUUUCACCGGUCAAUCCAAAUGGCAAGUGACCGCCAAGGUUCAAUCAAAACAAAGGCAAGAAGCAGAAAACAGAAAAUAGGGACAACACUAAUCAUCGUUCAAUAAACAGUUACAUCUAUGUCUGUUUCAACUAAUUCUUAUGCUGCAAAAAAGGGAAAAAUUUCCAUUGAUGAAGUGAUGAAACAUGUGCUUGCUUGUGGUGCCACCUAUGGUAGUAACGAGCACUUCAUUGCAACUGAAUUAUUUGUCAAACUGACCCAAAAAGAGAUGUUCAUGACCUUUCUUACCGAACAUAGAUUCAACUGGCUUUCAGGGAAAUACAUAACCAAGUAUGGUAAUUAUAAAGGGCCAUGGGUGUGAUAUGAGUUGUAAAUGUUUGUUUUUUUAUCUCGUUAUGUGAGACUUAUUUGUUUCUUGUUACUUUCAUUUCUUUAUGUGAGACUCAAUGGAU
rnacentral:misc_RNA from 1 species